AACGAACGCUGGCGGCAGGCUUAACACAUGCAAGUCGAGCGCCCCGCAAGGGGAGCGGCAGACGGGUGAGUAACGCGUGGGAACGUACCCUUUGCUACGGAAUAGCUCCGGGAAACUGGAAUUAAUACCGUAUGUGCCCUACGGGGGAAAGAUUUAUCGGCAAAGGAUCGGCCCGCGUUGGAUUAGCUAGUUGGUGGGGUAAUGGCCUACCAAGGCGACGAUCCAUAGCUGGUCUGAGAGGAUGAUCAGCCACAUUGGGACUGAGACACGGCCCAAACUCCUACGGGAGGCAGCAGUGGGGAAUAUUGGACAAUGGGCGCAAGCCUGAUCCAGCCAUGCCGCGUGAGUGAUGAAGGCCUUAGGGUUGUAAAGCUCUUUCAGUGGGGAAGAUAAUGACUGUACCCACAGAAGAAGCCCCGGCUAACUCCGUGCCAGCCGCCGCAGUAAAAC
rnacentral:rRNA from 1 species